AGGCUUGCCUCGGCUGUGACUUUUGAUUUUGAAGAUAGUUUUGAUAAUCCUUAUAGUUUUGGUUAGAUAUUUUUGAAAUGGGUAUAGGGUUUUUUUCACAUGGUCCUCUCUAUGUGGCUGUCAUCUUAUGGCUUAAGAAUUGAGGAAUUUGGUAGCUGUCUAGUUAAUACUUGCUCAGUUGCUUGGAGAAAUAAGCUUCGUUUUGAUUAUUAUUAUUAUUAUU
rnacentral:misc_RNA from 1 species